CACGAAGAGAGGCCGUGGUCUGCUCCACACUGCGCACAGCUGGGAUGCCCUGAGAUGCCAGCAGCUGCUUCCAUAGGGCUAAGGCAUCGUCCAGGCUCUUGGACUGAGCCAAUUCUGUCAGCAGGUUGAAGGAGAUGCCGCUGUUCAGGAAUGCAUCCUCCUGCAGCCUGCUUUCAUAGUUGAGGUCAUUGGGCUCAAAGUCUUCCAGGCUCUUCUGUCCCA
rnacentral:lncRNA from 1 species